rnacentral:rRNA from 1 species
GGUGCUUGCACUGGGUGGAUGAGUGGCGAACGGGUGAGUAAUACGUGAGUAACCUGCCCUUGACUCUGGGAUAAGCCUGGGAAACUGGGUCUAAUACUGGAUAUGACCUCCUGUCGCAUGGUGGGGGGUGGAAAGGGUUUGUACUGGUUGUGGAUGGGCUCACGGCCUAUCAGCUUGUUGGUGGGGUAAUGGCCUACCAAGGCGACGACGGGUAGCCGGCCUGAGAGGGUGACCGGCCACACUGGGACUGAGACACGGCCCAGACUCCUACGGGAGGCAGCAGUGGGGAAUAUUGCACAAUGGGCGCAAGCCUGAUGCAGCGACGCCGCGUGAGGGAUGACGGCCUUCGGGUUGUAAACCUCUUUCAGCACGGAAGAAGCGAAAGUGACGGUACGUGCAGAAGAAGCGCCGGCUAACUACGUGCCAGCAGCCGCGGUAAUACGUAGGGCGCAAGCGUUGUCCGGAAUUAUUGGGCGUAAAGAGCUCGUAGGCGGUUUGUCGCGUCUGCUGUGAAAGCCCGGGGCUUAACCCCGGGUGUGCAGUGGGUACGGGCAGACUUGAGUGCAGUAGGGGAGACUGGAACUCCUGGUGUAGCGGUGAAAUGCGCAGAUAUCAGGAAGAACACCGAUGGCGAAGGCAGGUCUCUGGGCUGUUACUGACGCUGAGGAGCGAAAGCAUGGGGAGCGAACAGGAUUAGAUACCCUGGUAGUCCAUGCCGUAAACGUUGGGCACUAGGUGUGGGGGACAUU